rnacentral:tRNA from 1 species
GUUUAAGUAAGUUAAAAUAAACUCCUGAAUUGUGGUUUCAGAAAUACAGAUACCUGUCUUAGACC